rnacentral:lncRNA from 1 species
GGAAAAUAAUGAAAAUGAGGCUUGCAAGAAAGGUUGGAGCCCAGAUUGUGAAGGGUUUUAAAAGUUAAACAGAGUAGUUUGUGCUUUUUCCUAGAGGCAACAGGAAGCUACCAAGUAGAUGUAGAGAAUCUUCACAUUAAGGAAGAGGAUGUCCAAUACAGAGAGGAGGCCACAGGAAUGUUCAAGUUAAAAUAGGCUGGCAAAUUGUGUGACUGUGCCAAUGAACCCCACUUUUCCAGAGGAUGUUACUUUUGAUUCUACUCCUGAAGGAUUGUGUCUUCCCUGCAGGCGAUGCAAAAUAUUACCGAUCCUGAACCUGGAGGGAAAACUGCACAAUUCCUGCAGCAUAAUCUAAGACAUUCCCCCUGGAUCUGCCUGCACGUACAAAUACACUUCAGUAAGUAGCCCUCUGCCAGGGUCACUGAAACUCAGAUGCACAGCAGCAAGAAAUCCUCCCACUCUCAUUUCUGUUUGUGACCCAACCUUCCCC